CCGCGCCGCCCCGCGCGGCUGCCGCUCGCUCCCCUGCCGCGUGCUCUUGCCCCCGUUGAGUCUCUAGCACUGAGCGCGCAAAAGUGUCCAUCAUCAUAAUAAUACACAAUAAUAAUAAUAAUUAAUGAUGAUAAUAGCAGCGCCUUCUGUGCCAGUUAAAGACUCCGCUUUCCUUUCUCUGAGCACUAGCAGACAGAUGAUUUGCCCGAAGUUGAUGCACGUGGUUUAAAGGGCAGUGGGCGCAGGAGCCGCAGCCCGAGCUCUGCUCUCGUGUCAGGCGCUGCCGAACGCACUCGGUCCCAGCACAGCAAAGGCCAGGGAUGGUGGAUCAGCCGUGUCUUAUCAGCCGUGUCUCCCGACAGGCACGGGAGCCCCGAAGAGCCCAAAGCAAGCCGGCUGUGUGUGCCUGUUGGGCUCCUCCCUGCUGGCCCGGGCUCUCCGGGCACACAGAGCGUUCCCCGGACACGCAGGCGGUGCCAGCAUCCCCCUCUCAGAGCUGAGCGAGCCGGGAUGCUCGGACGCUGCAGCACAGCUCCUCUCCAGGCAGACAAAUCCGACGAGAACAGAACCUCGGACCCACCGGGAUGCCCGUGUCCCCUGUUCCACUUCUGGCAAUUCCUCCUUUUUUAACCUCUUCUGUCUGAAAAUACACAUUUCUUUGCAGCUGUCCUGGUUUUAGGACAAGCAGUGAUGAGCCACAGGAACACAAGCUUUGAGAUUUGCAUUUUGGAGAAAACAGGUUUCAGAAAACUGAAAGUAGCCAACAUAACCUGUGAAAAUGGGACAGAACAACAUCAAGUAUAAAUGCAUUUGCUGUGCAAUAAUUUAGAACCACAAUAACAUCCCAUUAAAAAUAUUAAUUUUUAAAAAUGAGAUGCCCUGUAUAGCAAGUACUAAUGGAAGCAAUCAAGUUUUAGAACAGAUGAUGUAAGAGAAAGCUAUUUAAAAUAGAAUCUCCACCGCCUCUUUCUCCAUUCAGAGCCCACAGAGGAAGGUGCAAAGCAGUUCUUACAAAGUGACUCAAAACUUCCCAGCCACUAUCAGCGGCUUGCUUCAGACAUAUAUAAAGUUUCCUUUUCUUUGAAAAAGUUUAAAGACACAGUAAGGUUUCAAUAAAUCCCUCCUCCUGUAAUGUCACAGCUUGCAGUUUCCUUCCCAAACUCAAUCUAAUAACUCAUGCUUUCUGGAGUCUACAGACACAGGUAGUUGGUGACAGCAAGUGGCAAACUCAAGUUCAGAAGCCCUGUUGUAAUUGAAUUUAACCCAUGAAUUACUAAUCAAUGGAACAGUUUAGUGGGACAAAAUCAAGUGGAACAAUUCAGAGCUUGGAGAGAGAAUGAAGUAUUUCUGCAGACAGAUAGGAGAGGCAAGGAAAAUAAGAACAGAGAAAUAAGGAAACAACUAUAACACAAUGAUUUUAAAAGCAAGUUUAUUUCCAGUCUGAAAGCAAUUAAGAAAGGGAAGUACUGAAUAAAUUUGUAGCUAACAAAAUGCACAGCUGCUAUGUAGGCGUUCACAGGCUCUACCUACGUGCUGCUCUGAACUUACACCCGUUGUUCUUUUGCUGUAGUCUGACAGGACCAUGAGCUGUUGUGUUGAAGAGAUGACUUUUGCCCAGACUGUGUGUGGAACUCUGCUCCCCUGUGACACCUGUAAUUAGCAUGAGGAGCCCUAGGAGCAGCCUGGCUAAAGAGCCCCACAGAGCCAAUUCCCUCCCAGAGAGCACUUGAGCAAUGGACAUCACCACCAGAGGAAGAAGCUGAGUGAGGAGGAGCUCUGCAUGCUUCCACUGUGCCACACUCUCAGAGCCAAACCAUCCCCAAUUCUCUGAAGCUGAUUAAAUUGCACCUUUGAACCGCUACAGAUCUUGCAGACUCAAGCCCUAUUCUUCCAGUAGAUGUAACAGCACACGAACUGAUGUCUAGGCAGUGCCUGACUGAUACUCCUACAAAUUUGAGCGGUUUAACGGUUUUCAGGAUAUAUAUUUGCAAAAUUGGCUUCUUUCCCUUUCUGUAACACUUGUUUUUAAGGUGCACUGAAGAUUUUGCUAAGGGAAAUACUUAUCUGGAGCAGUACACACUCACAGGCAAGCAGCUGCUUUUAACUAAGAGUUUUCAAGCUCAAGGAAACCAUUGUUUCCAACUUUUGUGGGUAGCAGGGGAAGUCAAAUAAUGAUGAAUGGGGAAGAAAUAGAACAAUAGCCAAUUUGUCUGGCUGUCAGAACUGCCAUCUCGUCAGGAUUCCUGCACUUGCACAUUCAUCUGGAAUCCUCCAAAACCACUUCAAUCAAAUUGGGAGAGUUCUGCCAAAAUCUGGCUGAAACCCAUUCUAUAUCAGCCAGCAUAAUUCACCUUAUUAUAAGAGUUCACCUUAUCAUGAGAGGCGUAAAUGGAGUGAAAAAGCAGAAGAGGAAGAAGGUCAAGUUGCUUUUAUGAAAAACAGAAACACUACAGCCACCUGUGCCAAGGCUGUUGGUGGAGAGCUGAGAGCAGAGAGAUCUUUGCUGUUUUCCCAGCUUUUAUCUUGGUUUUCAGCAGGUACUCAGGGAGCAGUGUGCUUAUCACCAGUGCCAGCGAUGGCAUUCCAGUCUUCACACAAAACUUGGCAUAUACAGGGACAACAGGUCCCAGUGGGAGUGUGCCAACUGGGAGAUGUUGUGUCUGGGCCACUGACAGCCUAAAGGGAACAUGCAAAACCAUAAAAGAGGUACUGUGCCUUUUUUUAAUCUACUACUAUUCUUUUAAUCAUCUCUUAUGUGCAU